GCAGGGGGCGCUGUAGCACGGGCUCAGCCGCCUCACGCAUCGCCGUAGUGGCGGCUCAGUCGGUAAGGGAGGAAGACAGCGUGGCUCCCUCUGCAAACUCAUGGGGAGCAGCUGGUCUUAGUGCCACUCCUGGUGGUUAAAUAGACUGGAGCAGGAACCUCAGACUGGCAGCUGCAACAGCAGAGGGACUAAACUUCAAGACAUACAGAAAAUUAUUGUAGCUUCCAGAAUCCACUGGAUCUCAGCAGAGUAUCCCAGCAAUUACCCAUUCACAGAGAAGUGGUCUUUCUACAGUUUGAUGCAGCAAUCAGACAUCAAUUAUGGUAGGAAUUACAACUUGUUGGGGAUGGGACUGGCAACUUUUUUGAUAAAAAGGUGUUUUUUUAGUUGUUCACAAAGAAAAAAAAAUGUAGGAAAGCUGAAUUUAAAUUUUGUCCAUGGUGUCUGUUCCGAGAUCAUGAUAUGUG
rnacentral:lncRNA from 1 species